GAUGAACGCUGGCGGCGUGCCUAAUACAUGCAAGUCGAGCGAACAGACGAGGAGCUUGCUCCUCUGACGUUAGCGGCGGACGGGUGAGUAACACGUGGAUAACCUACCUAUAAGACUGGGAUAACUUCGGGAAACCGGAGCUAAUACCGGAUAAUAUAUUGAACCGCAUGGUUCAAUAGUGAAAGACGGUUUUGCUGUCACUUAUAGAUGGAUCCGCGCCGCAUUAGCUAGUUGGUAAGGUAACGGCUUACCAAGGCGACGAUGCGUAGCCGACCUGAGAGGGUGAUCGGCCACACUGGAACUGAGACACGGUCCAGACUCCUACGGGAGGCAGCAGUAGGGAAUCUUCCGCAAUGGGCGAAAGCCUGAGGGAGCAACGCCGCGUGAGUGAUGAAGGUCUUCGGAUCGUAAAACUCUGUUAUUAGGGAAGAACAAAUGUGUAAGUAACUAUGCACGUCUUGACGGUACCUAAUCAGAAAGCCACGGCUAACUACGUG
rnacentral:rRNA from 1 species